rnacentral:rRNA from 1 species
AGGGUUUGAUCAUGGCUCAGGAUGAACGCUAGCUACAGGCUUAACACAUGCAAGUCGAGGGGAAACGACAUCGAAAGCUUGCUUUUGAUGGGCGUCGACCGGCGCACGGGUGAGUAACGCGUAUCCAACCUGCCCACCACUUGGGAAUAACCUUGCGAAAGUAAGACUAAUACCCAAUGACGUCCAUAGAAGACAUCUGAAAUGGAUUAAAGAUUCAUCGGUGAUGGAUGGGGAUGCGUCUGAUUAGCUUGUUGGCGGGGUAACGGCCCACCAAGGCGGCGAUCAGUAGGGGUUCUGAGAGGAAGGUCCCCCACAUUGGAACUGAGACACGGUCCAAACUCCUACGGGAGGCAGCAGUGAGGAAUAUUGGUCAAUGGGCGAGAGCCUGAACCAGCCAAGUAGCGUGCAGGAUGACGGCCCUAUGGGUUGUAAACUGCUUUUAUAAGGGAAUAAAGUGAGCCUCGUGAGGCUUUUUGCAUGUACCUUAUGAAUAAGGACCGGCUAAUUCCGUGCCAGCAGCCGCGGUAAUACGGAAGGUCCGGGCGUUAUCCGGAUUUAUUGGGUUUAAAGGGAGCGUAGGCCGGAGAUUAAGCGUGUUGUGAAAUGUAGAUGCUCAACAUCUGCGCUGCAGCGCGAACUGGUUUCCUUGAGUACGCACAAAGUGGGCGGAAUUCGUGGUGUAGCGGUGAAAUGCUUAGAUAUCACGAAGAACUCCGAUUGCGAAGGCAGCUCACUGGAGCGCAACUGACGCUGAAGCUCGAAAGUGCGGGUAUCGAACAGGAUUAGAUACCCUGGUAGUCCGCACGGUAAACGAUGGAUGCCCGCUGUUGGUCUGAAUAGGUCAGCGGCCAAGCGAAAGCA